CUACGGGACGCACCAGUGAGGAAUAUUGCACAAUGGGGGGAACCCUGAUGCAGCAAUGCCGCGUGGAGGAUGACGCAUUUCGGUGUGUAAACUCCUUUUAUAUGUCAAGAGAAUGACGGUAGCAUAUGAAUAAGCACCGGCUAACUCCGUGCCAGCAGCCGCGGUAAUACGGAGGGUGCAAGCGUUACUCGGAAUCACUGGGCGUAAAGGACGCGUAGGCGGGUUGGAAAGUCAGGUGUGAAAUCCUACAGCUUAACUGUAGAACUGCACUUGAAACUUCUAAUCUAGAGUAUGGGAGGGGGAGAUGGAAUUAGUGGUGUAGGGGUAAAAUCCGUAGAUAUCACUAGGAAUACCUAAAGCGAAGGCGAUCUCCUGGAACAUUACUGACGCUAAGGCGUGAAAGCGUGGGGAGCAAACAGGAUUAGAUACCCCAGUAGUC
rnacentral:rRNA from 1 species